CAAAGGAUAGUUUAAUUAAAAUAAUAAUUUUGGGGAUUAUUGAUAGGGUAGGUACUUUUCCUUUGA
rnacentral:tRNA from 1 species